rnacentral:lncRNA from 1 species
AAGAACCUUUUAUUAACACAACAAUGAUAUUUUAAAAAGGAAGAAUAAUAAUUUCCAAGAAAAAGUACAGGAAUUUAUUUUAUGUCUUUUUGAAUUUAGACAGAGAAUUAUUUCAUAGACAUCAUUUAGACAAAGUUAGACUGGCCUGAAUUUAACUGCAGGUCCUGAGACUUAUUAUUAAGGGUCAUAUUUGCCAAUGUCUGGUGAGAAAUAGACUGGGAAGAUGAAAAGCAUCAAAAGAUUUCUAAGGGCUACCAAGAUUAUUGAGGGGAUACUGAAGAACAUGUUUUUUAUUUAAAUAUUUCCUAGGACUGACCUUCACUCUUUUUUCAGUGAAUCUACCAUUAAAAAGGGGCUUGAGUUGCUUCAAAGACUGAGUCCCUUAAAUGGUACCUCAUCUAUUACACUCAGGAGCAGCUACAGCUAGAGUCACCAAGAAGGGUCGCUGACAUGGUAGUUGAUGCUAGCAGGUCAGCUGGGAGGUCAGCUGCGGCUUUCUGGCAGAGUAUCUACAUGUGGUCUCUCUCUCAAGGUGACUUGGACUUCAAACAGGAUGGUACCCAUGUCCCACUGGAGAACAACUCAAGCAUCAAUAUUCCAAAAUUUGUGAUGCUUCAAGAUUGAUUGAGGAUCAAUCACAGUUUCCCAGAACUGGAAAGGUCCUACUUUUCCCCUGCUCUACUUGUUAAGCUGCCUCCACAGCCUGCUCAUGUUCAAGGGCCUGGAGAAAUAAAAUGUUUCUUCAUGAAAGCAUGGCAAUGUCACAUUGCAGAAGUGCAUGUGGGAAUAAACAUAUUGUUGUGGCCAACUUUGGAAAAUAUAAAUUCUCAAAAUCACUUUGGAAAGGGUUUCUCUUUUGACAGAAAUCAAAAGGUAACCAUCUAAAAGCACUUCUCCUUUCAUUCUGGGCACAGAGCUGGAUAAUAUUUCUAAUUUCUGUAACUCUUAGGAAUGGCUAUAUCACUUACAUUUAGCCAAUGGAAUGCACACACAAAUGUGUAUUCCACCCCCUGGUCUGAGCCAUAGUUCUCCGCAGUGAUAUCCCUCAUAUUAUUUCUCUUUUCACUUUACUAUUGUGACAAUGCCUAGGGAAACCUAGGGAGGCAUAUGUUAAAGUUGGCAGAAUUUCUGUGACCCUGAGUCUAAUUUGAUCCUCAAUGACUUUCAUCCCUGUGUUGAGUGUGAGCAAAAUCUAUCAAUAGGAUGAGAUAGUACUUCCAUGAGUACGUUAUAGUUUAUAGCAAAUGAGAUUUUUACAGUGUAAUUAGAGUUGGAAAUCACUGCUUUUUAACUGUGUCAAAUGAGUCAUUAAACUUGUCCUCUGUGUAAUUUUUGUUGUUUUUUGAAGAAUCUGUGGCCAUCCUGGAAAUAAACAGAGUGACAUGGUGACAAUUGUGGAUCCUCUCCUUUGGGAUAAUGCACUGUGUAUCCCAUUGCAAGUGCUUCUCAGACAUCAGUGCAACGACCUCUUCAGUAAUCUGACCUAAAAUGUAAGAGACUUGAGAGCAAAGAUCAUGUUUUGUUCAUUAUUUUACUCCUAGUACCUAGGACAGUCCCCACCAGCAAAUGCCUGUUCAGUGAUGGAUAUGCUAAAAUCUCCUUUAUUAUAGAUGCAUUUAUUUCAUGGAAAAAGGAACUGUUGAGCAACUGAUUUUUGAUUAUUUCCUGAGUUGUUCUGCAGGCUUGAAAGGAUAGUUUCUUGUUGGUCAAAUCACAGAAAAGUCUUAUACAAGAAUUAUCAUCGGGUCAAGUUCUCAGACUUACAUUGUAAUUAAUUGCUUAGCCUCAUUACUUCCACACUAUAUAAUAGUUUUACUCUUUGUUCUUUCUAUUAAACUGGUUUUACUUUAGAAUUUUGUUUCACUGUAAUGAAUGCCAUAAGAAUAUUCUUUAAUUCGAUCAUUAUUAUUAUUAUUAUUUUGAGACGGAGUCUCACACUAUCGUCGGGGCCGGAGUGCAGUGGUGUGCAAUCUCGGCUCACUGCAACCUCUGCCUCCUAGGUACAAGGGAUUCUCCUGCCUCAGCCUCCCGAGUAGCUGGGAUUACAGGCGCCUGCCACCAUGCUUGGCUAAUUUUUUGUAUUUUUGAAGAGACGGGGUUUCACCAUGUUGGCCGGGCUAGUCCCCAACUCGUGACCUCGUGAUCUGCCCACCUCGGCCUCCCAAAGUGCUGGGAUUACAGGCAUGAGCCACCGCGCCCAGCCUCGGUGUUUAUUUUUACAAACAAGAUAGCUCACAUUUCCCUCCAACACCAUUUUAAAAUAAAGCUUGUCAUUUCUAUUUGACCUUUUGUUAUCUCUUCCUGAUUUUCUGAGAAUGAUUUAUACUAAAUAUUAUAUCUUUUAUAUUGUGUACAUAUAUAUGUUAUUUAUAAUCCCAUAUCUGAAUAUCUGAAUUCCAAAAUACUCCAAAAUCUGACUUUUUGAGCACAGCACUGACAUGACACUCAAAGGAAAUGCUCUUUGGAGCACUUUGGAUUUUGGAUUUUCAGAUUAGGGAUACUUUACGGUUUCAAAAUCUGAAAAUCUCUGAAAUCUGUAACAUUUCUGGUCUCCAGUGUUUUGGAUUGGGAAUAGUCAAUCUGUAACAUACAUGCAUAUUACACUGUGUUUUCUUUAAUUAAAGUAAUUGCAUUAAUUUGUCUAAGCUAGGGAUGUAUCAAAAGUACAUAUUUCAUUUUGAUCCUUAAAUCAAUUUUGACAUAUUUCUUCUUAUGAUUAAAUACACAUGAUUCAUAGAAGAAAUAAGGUCCUCCACUGGGAUCUUUUUGUUUUGUAAAAGACUUUCAUUAUACAGCUCUGUUGGCUAUUUAUCCAGACCCAGCUCCUGUCAUAAACCUUUAUGCUUUAUGUUACAGUAAUAAUGAAUUAUUUGCAAUUCCUAAAAUAUCACAAUUGCAUUAUAUAAUUCCAAUUGUUGGCAUUGAAGCCAAGGACUGUGAUUUUUCCAUAGUUAUUGUCUCAGCAACUAGCAGUAUGGUGGCAUAAAUAUCUGUUGAAACAACAAAC